GAUCUCAAAUCAAGUAAGACUACCCGCUGAGCUUAA
rnacentral:rRNA from 1 species